CGCAGCCGCGGUAAUUCCAGCUCCAAUAGCGUAUAUUAAAGUUGUUGCAGUUAAAAGCUCGUAGUUGAAUUUCGGGAUUAAUAUGUUGGUCGUGCCUUGGUACGUACUGGCAUUAUUGAUUCCUACCUUCUGAAGAACCUCGAUGUCAUUAAUUUGGUGUCUUGGGGAAUCAGGACCGUUACUUUGAAAAAUUAGAGUGUUUAAAGCAGGCCCGCGCUUGAAUACAUUAGCAUGGAAUAAUGAAAUAGGACGUUUGAUUCUAUUUUGUUGGUUUCUAGGAUCGACGUAAUGAUUAAUAGGGAUAGUUGGGGGCAUUAGUAUUCAAUCGUCAGAGGUGAAAUUCUUGGAUUUAUUGAAGACUGACUACUGCGAAAGCAUUUGCCAAGGAUGUUUUCAUUAAUCAAGAACGAAAGUUAGGGAUCGAAGACGAUCAGAUACCGUCGUAGUCUUAACCAUAAACUAUGCCGACUAGGGAUCGGAUGAUGUUAAUUUUUAAUGUACUCAUUCGGCGCCUUACGGG
rnacentral:misc_RNA from 1 species